rnacentral:rRNA from 1 species
UACGGAGGGUGCAAGCGUUAUCCGGAUUCACUGGGUUAAAGGGUGCGUAGGUGGGUUGAUAAGUCAGUGGUGAAAUCCCCGAGCUUAACUUGGGAACUGCCAUUGAUACUAUUGAUCUUGAAUACCGUGGAGGUCAGCGGAAUAUGUCAUGUAGCGGUGAAAUGCGUUAAGAUAUGACAUAGAACACCAAUUGCGAAGGCAGCUGGCUACGCGAAAUAUUGACACUGAUGCACGAAAGCGGUGGGGAUCAAACAGG